GAAGGGGGCUAGCGUUGCUCGGAAUCACUGGGCGUAAAGGGCGCGUAGGCGGACUUUUAAGUCGGAGGUGAAAGCCCAGGGCUCAACCCUGGAAUUGCCUUCGAUACUGAGAGUCUUGAGUUCGGAAGAGGUUGGUGGAACUGCGAGUGUAGAGGUGAAAUUCGUAGAUAUUCGCAAGAACACCGGUGGCGAAGGCGGCCAACUGGUCCGAAACUGACGCUGAGGCGCGAAAGCGUGGGGAGCAAA
rnacentral:rRNA from 1 species